UCAGAAGUGAAGUGUCAACAUCGCUGUUAUAAUGUUAUAAACGAAAGCAGGGCUGAAGAAUUUUCUGCACUGCAAAGUCUUACAUCAGAAGAUGCCAGUCAGAAUCAAUUCUCCAAAGAAUUAUUUUCGUGUUAAAUUAAGAUACGAGCAAGCAAAAAUAAUCACAUUUUCGGCCUAUGGGCAUUAUAUGUGAAAAUACCAAACAUAUUUCAAAACAAUUUUUCGCACUGUUGGAUACACUACUUCAAAAGAAUGCGGUAUAUGACUGUUUGACUUGUGUGCCUUCAUUUUCAAAAUUCUUACAUACGAAGAUUAUAGUCCUCCUAAUUAUCGACAACACCUCAACCGGCGUUUAAAACCGAAUUCCUUCUCAAACUUAGUGUAAACGUUUCUUUCACUUCCGGUAAAUAUGAUAAUUUGUCCCAAGAAGACAAUACUCUAAAAUGCAAAUGUGACUGACAAAACACCCACUAUUAUUGUGACUGUAAGAGGCGAAUGAUUCAACAUAACAUUUGUCGAGAGAAAUGUUAUUAGUCUUUUUCAGUCUUCACUACGUCUGCGGUAAGAGUUCUUUUCUUGACAUAUACCAAUGAAUUGAAUGCUCUGGUUAAUUGUUUUAAUGAUGCACAUACACAUUUGCUUGCAGGAAUGUGAAAAGCUCAAAAACAGCAGUUGUGUUCAAUGGAACUUAACUACAAUCAAUGGAGUUAAAAUGUUGUG